rnacentral:lncRNA from 12 species
GGGGGGGGGGGGGGGGGGGGGGGGGGGGGGGGGGGUCCCCCCACACCCCACGGCUCCCCCGUAUUUCGACAGCACGCGUUACUAUUUACUAAUGAAUUUCUUUAUGUUUUAAUACAAAAGCGGUUAGGGCCCAUUGCAGAGCCCAGGAAUGACAUUUGCCGGCCUCGGUGGCAGGCGGGCUGCUCUUAAAUGGAGGAGGCCUUUCUGCGGAACAGCAAGAGGCAAAAGGCCUUGUGUCACCCGGUUAUGUAAGACACAAUCUCGCCUGAAAAUGCACAAUGAAUCGGGAAGGAUUUAUCUGAGGAAACUGAGGAACAGUGAGGUGACCACAAUGAUGUACAGGGCAUCUCUCUCAGAUGAGUGUGGAACAGUGUUCCUCCUGCUGCUGGGCUCCACUGCAUUACCUGCUGGGAGGGACAAAGUGCCACGCUCCUUGUGAAAAUCUCACCCCAGCUGUCAGCACAAAACACUGCAAAGAGUGACAGAGACACUUCGCCAGAAGGCUCUGCAAGCUUAUCCUUAAUUCUGUAUUGUUUGUAGAAAGUGACGGUGACUUCUGAGCAGGAGAUGAAGACUGUGCCAAGGACAGGGCAUUGUGCUGUUCCUGGAGCUUGACUGGCUCUUCCCUCCCACUUUGUUCCUUACUAAUCACAGUGGCUUCCUACAACACAUUCAUCAGGGCAGGUCACUGCCUGUAAAUAAGAGAGUUUUUGUCCUUUCCAAAAGCCAGAAGUACGAUGUUAUCUUUUCUCUUUCCCACAGAAGAGAGCCGUUAGGAAAUUCCUUGGUUUAGUUUGUCCCUCCUUGUUCCUGGAUGAUGUUGGAGCCAUUGUAAAAAGAUGAG